rnacentral:Y_RNA from 1 species
GGCUGGUCUGAGUGCAGUGGUGUUUACUAAUUGAUCACAGACAGUUACAGAUUUCUUUGUUCCUUCUCCACUCCUACUGCUUCACUUUAGCCUAAA